UGACGAGUGGCGGACGGGUGAGUAAUGUCUGGGAAACUGCCUGAUGGAGGGGGAUAACUACUGGAAACGGUAGCUAAUACCGCAUAACGUCGCAAGACCAAAGAGGGGGACCCUCGGGCCUCUUGCCAUCGGAUGUGCCCAGAUGGGAUUAGCUUGUUGGUGGGGUAACGGCUCACCAAGGCGACGAUCCCUAGCUGGUCUGAGAGGAAGGUCCCCCACAUUGGAACUGAGACACGGUCCAGACUCCUACGGGAGGCAGCAUG
rnacentral:rRNA from 1 species